GUUAGGAAUAUUGGACAAUGGGCGCAAGCCUGAUCCAGCCAUGCCGCGUGAGUGAUGAAGGCCUUCGGGUUGUAAAGCUCUUUAGCCGAUGAUUAUAAUGACUGUAGUCGGAAAAUAAGCCCCGGCUAACUUCGUGCCAGCAGCCGCGGUAAUACGAAGGGGGCGAGCGUUAUUCGGAAUCACUGGGCGUAAAGCGUGCGUAGGCGGCUUUGCAAGUUGGGAGUGAAAGCCCAGGGCUCAACCCUGGAAUUGCUCUCAAAACUGCAAGGCUCGAAUUCGGGAGAGGAUAGCGGAAUUGUCAGUGUAGCAGUGAAAUGCGUAGAUAUUGACAGGAACACCAGUGGCGUAAGCGGCUAUCUGGACCGGUAUUGACGCUGAGGCGCGAAAGCGUGGGGAGCAAACAGGAUUAGAUACCCGAGUAGUCC
rnacentral:rRNA from 1 species